rnacentral:lncRNA from 1 species
AUUAUUCCAAAAAAUAAAAAUAACUGAAAAAUAUUUAUUUAAAAAAAAUGGAAAUCGAAAAUAAAAAAUAAUUUCUAUUCUGAAAUUAUAAAAAAUCAUUUUUUUUAAAUUAUUUUUUUCUGAAAAUAAAAGUUUUUUUAUUCGGAAAAUUUGAAAAAAUAACCUUUUUGAAAAUUAAAAAAAUUAUCAAAAAAAAAUCUGAUUUUUUUUUUAAAAUAAUUUAAAAUAUAAAAUUAAUUUAUAAUGUGAUAAAACAUGAAAACAAACAAAUAUAAAAAU